rnacentral:rRNA from 1 species
AUGGUGCUCGGCGGCUGCGGCAACGGAGCUGAUGGAGCACGAUCCGACCAGUUCAACGGAGGCAGUAGCACGGGGCAGCGGCAGCAGCAUGGAGGGCCUCCGCUUGACUGGGAAGAGUGGGUACUAGGUUCGUUAAGGCCACUUUAUAAGGCCAUGAGGUAUGCUGAUACGCAGAAACAAUGCACUCUUUCUGGCUUAAAAAAAAGUAUGAUGCUCGCUAUACAACGGAUGGAAGCACAUCUAGGCCCUACAUCAAGGUUGUACCUUAGUUUCAUGCGCAAGGUGGGCAAGAGGAUAGAUGCAAUGGAAGAAGAUACGUUUAUGGUUGCAGCUGCCGUCCUUGAUCCAUAUACACAUUACAGCCUCAACCUUUGCAACCAUACAAAUUAUGCUACUGCACUAACAGAUGCGAUAGCGAAGAUAUUAGAUCCAAAGAGUGCUCUUUCAGCCAUUGAUGAAGUUAGUAAGUUUAGGGAGUGCCAAGGAAGGUUUGGGACCAGAUUAGCACAAGAAGCUGCGGCGAGAAUGGAGCCAAGUAAGUCGUGGUCUUUUGGUUUUAGAAUUUCCAUUUCCUUUUGUUUUGUAAUUCUGAAAAUUUCAUUGGUGAUAUCUUGCAGCCCAAUGGUAGUUUCAAUUUGGAGGGGAUGUUCCUGCAUUGCAGAAGUGUGCAAUGAGAAUUUGCUCACAAUGUGUCUCAUCUAG